rnacentral:rRNA from 1 species
UACGGGGGGGGCAAGCGUUGUUCGGAAUUACUGGGCGUAAAGGGCUCGUAGGUGGCCAACUAAGUCAGACGUGAAAUCCCUCGGCUUAACCGGGGAACUGCGUCUGAUACUGGAUGGCUUGAGUUUGGGAGAGGAAUGCGGAAUUCCAGGUGUAGCGGUGAAAUGCGUAGAUAUCUGGAGGAACACCGGUGGCGAAGGCGGCAUCCUGGACCAACACUGACACUGAGGAGCGAAAGCCAGGGGAGCAAACGGG